CUGCUGCUGCUUUGACGAGUUGAUCAGGGGAGCAAUGUGCUGCAGCAGUUACUCCAUGGCCAAGUUUCUGGAAGUCACCAGGAAGUACUUGAAUUGUGUGCCAGAGUCCCAAGGGUCAGAGUGAUUACACAAAUCUAACAGAACAUGUAUUUAGCAUGUACAAAUUGGUCUCCUAGGAGAACUAGUGGUUCGACUUUAGACUUCCAUCUGGCAUGUAUUUAACAUGUACAAAACCUUCUGUCAAGUUCUCAGGAAGGAUGGACAGAGCUCUGGGCCUCUCGACCUCCCAGGACCUUCUGCAUGCGGAAAGCGACUAGCAUCUGGACACACUGACGCCUUCGAAUCACCUGCAGUUGAGAUAACAGGACACAGAAUUCUUGGCAAAAGACUCCAGGCUGUGGAAUUUCCAGCUGUUGGCAACUAGCCAGAACCCAAAGUGUGUUCACCAUGUAGGCGGAGAGGGAGAGAAAGACACAGGCUUCUUCAUUGGCUUUUCUUUACCCACACAGAGAGAUUUCUAGAGCUGGCAUGAACCAGGCUGUGUGUGCAUGGGUAAUUCUCACUUCAGGAUUGCUGUAGAGGACAUGAACUUAAAACAAAAACAAAAAAAAACUUCCACUCCUUCUAGCAUUACAAUGUAAACAGUACCUGAGCUAUAUACAAGUGACCAAAGCAGGGGUGGGGGCAUUGGCACACCUGGUUAAGCACUCAUAUUAUAGCACACAAGGACCCAGGUUCAAGCCCCUGGUCCCCACCUGCAGAGGGAAAGCUUCAUGAGGGGUGAAGCAGAGCUGCAGGUGUCUCUCUCUCUUUUUCUCUAUCUGACCCUCCCCUCACAGUUUCUCUCUGUCUCUAUCCAAUAAUAAAUAAAAUAAAUAUAUAAAAAAAAAAUGACCAAAGCAGAAGAGUGGUAAACUUCAUUCAACAAACAGUUACAUGGGCACCUGUGUUAAAUAUGAAUAGACAUGGGCCCUGGGUCAGAUUGAUGGGAUUUAUAAUUAAUGACAUUUAUAUGCUUUCCUAAGAUUUGGGAGCUACUCUCUGCCCUAAUCCAGCUUUCUAGUCUUAUUCUCAAUUCUGACACCAUCUUCUCAGACGAUAUUUUUAACUCUGCAUGUUAGCUGUCAGGUUCAAGCAAAAA